UUAAAACCGACGAUCUAGAGUGGGUUAUCCCUGUAACGUCAUUUGGACAUAAAAUUCUUCCAAGUAUAUAACUGAUGGACAUUGUUUUCUCGUUCACUUGGAACCUCCUGAAAGAAACUGAACAGACAGCCACAAUGAAAGUUGAUAUAGUUUUACAACAAUGCUUCCUGUUAUUUGUAACGAUGUUGUCUAUUACACUUGUAAUUACCGAACCUGUUGAUUUGGAAACAGACGUAGCAGAUGAACCCCCUUCUGAAUCAGAAGGACAUUUUGUCUAUGUAAACACAAAUCCUUCAAGACAACGAAGAAAUGGACUGUCUUUACUUGCCCCACCAAAUAUGUACCAGCAAAAGUUUGCUCCAUUUUUACACAAAACGCCAGCUAAACGAGAUGGAUUUUGGAUUUGGAUGCCAGCCCAAGGAUACGUGUCCGUUCCAAGACAAGGUGCAGCAGGAGCAAAUGGUAGAGGAGGUGCAAAUUCAAACCUUCUUAGAUACGGAUAAUGUGGAGGCUAUUAUUAACAUUCAGUACAAGCAAUUGAAACUCAGGAUGGUUCACCGAAAUUAUGUUACCGCUAGACAUUUUUAUGAUACUCUGUGAUCUUCUUCUACUUUUAGAAACCGACAUUAGAUGGAAUGCUUACCAUUCAAAUAGAAUAUGACCAUUAACGAUUACAUCAAUUUUAAUAAAAUCUGAAAAAAAUGUCUACUGUAAA